rnacentral:pre_miRNA from 1 species
UGUUAAAAAUUUCAUCUAUUUGUAUAGUUAAAAACCAGCGUGGUCUAUCGAAUAACCAGACAAUGACAUAUGGUAUGCAAUGUGUACCUCAUGCCGAAUUUUUAUAGUAAAAAUUAAUGAAAUUUUUAAUA